GGUCUGAUAAGGUGUAAUACAGGUUGAGUAUCACUUACUCAAAAUGCUUGGGACAGUAUUCAGUACAGUCAUGUUUGUACAACUUUGUAGCCCAGGAGCAACAUUGGGUACCAUAACCUGAGUGUGGAGUGGGCAACACCAUUUAGGCUCAUGCAAGUACAGCCUGUGAUGUUCAGACCAGCAAAAUCACCCAGUGACACAUUUCCCAGAACACACCGUGUUGUUACGUGAGACAUGACUGCAUCACAGUCGCUUUGUUAAGUUGAUAUAUUUAGAUUAUCUCCAUUUAAUGUAAGUAUUAAUAUGGCUGGAUUGCAGGCUAACAUCGUAAUAGUUUUUCCACUUAUACCAUCUGUUUUCCGUUCUUUUGUCUUAAUUUUUCAAAGAUACUUACUUCCAGGGAUAUAGAAUUCUGGGUUGGCAGUUCCCCACCCCCAGCCCUUAAAGAGGUUACUCGAGUGUGGCCUGCAUGGUUUCUAAUGAGACAUUGGCUGAACUUGCCU
rnacentral:lncRNA from 1 species